rnacentral:rRNA from 1 species
UACGGAGGGUGCAAGCGUUAUCCGGAUUUACUGGGUUUAAAGGGUGCGUAGGUGGGCAGGUAAGUCAGCGGUGAAAUCUCCGGGCUUAACCCGGAAACUGCCAUUGAUACUAUCUGUCUUGAAUUUCCUGGAGGUAAGCGGAAUAUGUCAUGUAGCGGUGAAAUGCUUAGAUAUGACAUAGAACACCAAUUGCGAAGGCAGCUUACUACGGGAACAUUGACACUGAGGCACGAAAGCGUGGGGAGCAAACGGG